CCGCGGGGAUGAUGAACAGGUUCCGCAAGUGGCUCUACAAACCCAAGAGAACAGAUCCACAGCUCCUUGCUCAAUUCUAUUAUGCAGAUGAAGAACUGAAUCAAGUAGCAGCUGAACUAGACAGUUUGGAUGGAAGAAAAGACCCGCAAAGAUGCACUCUGUUGGUCAACCAGUUUCGCUCUUGUCAGGAUAAUGUUUUAAACAUCAUAAAUCAGAUCAUGGAUGAAUGCAUUCCACAUGACCGGGCCAACCGGGACUUCUGUGUCAAAUUUCCAGAGGAAAUACGCCAUGACAACCUUGCAGGGCAGCUUUGGUUUGGAGCAGAGUGCUUGGCUGCUGGUUCAAUUAUUAUGAAUCGUGAAAUCGAGAGUAUGGCUAUGAGACCAUUGGCUAAGGAUCUGACUCGUAGUCUAGAGGAAGUAAGAAACAUAAUUCGUGACCAGGCCCUACGGGAUUUGAAUCUUUACACAGAAAAAAUGAGGGACUCGCUCAGACAUUUUGAUAUUCUUUUUGCUGAAUUUGAGUUAAGUUAUGUAUCAGCCAUGGUUCCUGUAAAAUCUCCAAAAGAAUACUAUGUACAGCAAGAGGUAAUCGUGCUUUUUUGCGAAACAGUAGAGAGAGCUCUAAAGCUUGGAUACCUCACUCAAGACAUGAUUGAUGACUAUGAACCAGCAUUAAUGUUUACCAUCCCAAGAUUAGCAAUUGUGUGUGGGCUUGUAGUUUACUCUGAAGGACCCCUGAACCUGGACCACAAGCCAGAAGAUAUGUCUGAGCUUUUCAGACCCUUCCAUACUUUGCUACGAAAAAUAAGGGACCUCCUCCAAACCUUAACUGAUGACGAGUUGCACACACUGGAAUGUAACCUCUGCAUAUCCCAAGACUUGGAUUUUCCUGUCAGAACAGAUCCUGAAGUGCCAUCUGUCAUUACGCCUGCCUUAGCGGCAACUUUACCUACUGAAGAGCUUUCAGCAAAAGCUGAAAACACAGAGACUGAACUAGCUUGCUCUAUGCAGUAUGAUGAGCAGGAACUGGAACAGCUGAAUAGGAUGGUCCAUAGAGUAGGAGAUGAGAUGUCAUCUUUGCUGUCCCCACCAAGCAUCUGCCAGUCCCCAGCACAUAGACCUGGCAUAAGAAGCAGCUCCAGCUCAGAGGCCUCCCCAAGCAGGCAAUGUCUUCAUAAUUUAACCGAUGAAGAAGACAGGGUGUUUUUUAUGGAUGAUCUAGAUGGAGCUGGUGAAGCUCUUGCUGGGUUGGAUUCAGCUAAUGACACUUUUGCCUGGGUAAACAGUCCUUGCCACAAUUCAAAGCAGAGUGUGCAGUACAGGGACCCCUUAGCGUAUGAAAAUGUUCAUGAGACAGAAGCGAUUUUACUUUUGAAACAGGCAGAAAGCGACUUAACCAAUAACAACAACAUUGAAGAUAGCAAACAGAUGUCUGGUAUCUCUGUUCAGAAUUCGUGCAGUUGUUUAGAAGGCCCUGAUUCUCAAUUAUACCUCAAUGGGUGGGAUGCGUACGCUGAUGAUGCAGAGACAGCAGAGAUGAUAGCCCAUAGGACUGGUGGAAUGAAAAUAUCUGCUACUGUAAUAUUUAAUCCCAAAUCUCCCUCUACUUCAGACUCCCUGGAAACAACCCCAGAAGUAGCCGUUGGUUGUAUUCCUGGGUCUUCUGAUCCUUUAGCUGAUGAAGAGGAGAAUGAAUCCCAUAAACUCAGUAUAGCUGCCACAAACUGUCUAAUUAAUUCCUGUGUAUGUUGUGGCAGCUGUGAAGACAGCAGGGAGGAAAAUAUUGAAGGUAUAAAGACCAAACAUUCCCCAGGAAAAGUUAUAAAAGCUUCAUAUAGUUUAGUGAAAUCUAAAGAAAAGGACCAUAUGGAUAAAUUGGACAGUACAGUCUCUGCACAGGAGGCAUUAAAAACUGAAAUUUCUCCUGCUUUGCUAGCAGACUCUGGCAGAGAAGAGCAAAAACUGUCUAGCUCCUCUAAGUGCCUGGCACAUUCCUCAGGUUUGCAGGUGGGAACAGAACAUGCACCACAGGUAGAGGUGGAAAUCUCCAAUCAGCAAAAGAAAUGGGAGAAAAGAAGGCAGGCAUGUGAGAUGCAAUCAGAGAACAAUGAAGAAAGCGGCAGUGAAAGGAUAGCAAAGGAAGACAUUAAAUCAAGAUCUAGUUCAAGUUCUCAGGAUGGCUUACGUGAUUCUCCCCUCAGCUCCAUCUCCAGCAGUGACUAUGAGAGUGUUUCUGUCACUACAUGUAGUCUCUCCAGCAUAUACGCUCUGAGCAGUUUCAUGACGAGCUCUUGUUCAUCUGAUGACAUCGAUCAGGAGGAAAUCCAGCUUGCCUUGCAGGCUGCUAAAAUUGCUACCCGAGAAAAGAUAAGAUCCCGAUUUCAUGGCAGCAAUGACCUUAUUCACAGGCUCUUUGUCUGCAUCUCAGGUGUUGCUGACCAGUUGCAGACAAACUAUGCCAGUGACUUGCGAAGCAUCCUGAAGACCUUAUUUGAAGUUAUGGCAACCAAACCUGAAACAGAGGACAAGGAAAAACAAAAGAAAGUUAAUCAGAGUUUAAGGAAUGCAGCACUAGAAGAUUGUGCUUUAUGCCAGGAAACCAUAUCUUCUUCAGAACUUGCAGCAAAGGCCAGAGAUGGGGACUUUGAAGAUCCUCCUGACUGGGUGCCAGAUGAAGUCUGCAGCUACUGCACUGCGUGCAAAGCUCCGUUCACAGUCAUCCGCAGGAAGCACCAUUGUAGGAGCUGUGGCAAGAUCUUCUGCUCUCGCUGUUCCUCUCAUUCUGCUCCGUUACCUCGAUAUGGUCAGAUGAAGCCUGUCCGGGUUUGCACUCACUGUUACAUGUUCCAUGUCACUCCUUUCUACAGUGACAAAGCUGGUAUCUGACACAUUGAGUCAGCGGUGCACCUACUGGAGUCUGAAAUCGACUGAUCUUACGUUUGAUCUAAGCCAAGAAUGAACUUGAAGGAAGGACCUUGUUGCGGGCAUGUAGGCUUUGACAUUCAUUAUUUUCAAUUUUGUACAGACACUUUUUAUUGCAUUUUAUUAAGCUGCUAAAGGGAAGUACAAAGUGUCUGUAGCUGUAUGGCUGCAGUACUGUCUUCCAUAGAUUUCUAACGUUAGCAUUCCAAUGCCAUAUGCAGAACAGACGUUCUGCGUGGAAGGAAAUAGGGCUCAGUGGACUGAACCUACAUUGCUGCGCUGCUGCUUAUCUGACACACAAAGAACAGAGUAGCUGGUUAACUCUCACUCAGCACAGCAGAUCAGUUCCACAGCUAGGACACUUCUGCACGUGCUAGUAUUCUAGCUCUCCCUCUUGUUGCUAUUUACCUUUUCCAUUGCUGGAUACAAGCUGCCCGAGCUAGCAUUAAUUAAGGCAAAUACGUUAAGCCCGUAUUCAGUAUUCACCUAGGCAAAAUUCUUUUUGAACAACAGAGGAAGAAUCCAAAGUCCCAGAGCAGUAUGUUUCUGUUGCCUCUUGCUGAGCACAGCAAUAACUUGGAGUAUCUUUUGAAAAUUAGUUCUUGCAUCUUUUACUUUAUUUCUUUCCAGUUAGGGAUUUUUUGAAGCAUCAUUGAUGCAAACUCCUGAUGAUGAAAUCCUGAUGCAUGAGAGAGUUUGGUUUGCAAUAUUGAUAAUAAAAUACUAAGAAAAGUUCCAGAGGAAAGAGUUAGUCGAUGAAUGAAUUGCUAUUAAAAAAAUUUUAUUUUUGAAAAGUUUAGCCGCAUUAGUACAGUAUGCAUGACAGACCGGAGUUAUCCCAAGCUCUGCUUUUGAAAUGAUUUUUUUAAAGGCAAACUAGUAUCACCACUUUAUAUUUUUAUUCAAAAAGUCCUACAGAUUGGUCAACUAUAUAAAGUUUAUUUAUCAUCCAUAGUUUGCAGAGUAAUUUUAUAAAACAUUUCAGACUCUUCCUUUUAGACGUAAAUCACACUAACGCCUCAUAAAACACAUCUAUUUUAAUACACAUAUCUGUAUUAAAAUGUACAUAUACAUAGAUAUAAACUAUGCUUCUCUUUGGAGAGGAAAAUAAAAGAUUCACAGGGUCAUGUGGUGAUCUUACACAAGUGAUAUGCAGUAGGAGUUCUGUGAACACCGGGGUUUGGAGGUGUCUGGACAUGUUUGAUGUUAGCCACAUUCAAAGAAAAAAAACUGUUCUGUGGUUACAGAGGAAAUGAGAUCAAGAGCUCUGUGCUGACUUGCGGUGUUAACUGAAUGUUUCGAGCUGAUACAGAGAAAACUGCGCUAUUUCACUCAAGCGUCCUCAUUUAAAAUGAUAAAGCAAAAACUGGUCUGUGCGUAUUUUUUAUUUUGUGGAAACUUCCUUUGCUAUGUAGUUUUAUAUCAAAUGUAAUGGAGCCACAUAAACAUAGCAGUUUGUUGGCAUUGCUGACAUUUCAAUCAAAUGAAAUAGCUUCACCUAGUUUGCGAAAGGCACAAGUCUUAUGAUCCGCCUGUAGACACAUUCAGCAGUAGGAUGUUAGCCUCACUCUAUUUAUAAUUUUUUUGCAAAUUCCCUUUCACGAAAUCCUCAAGUUGGCAUGUCUACAGUCACCGGAGGUUAAAGAGACCCAGGGUGGAUACCUCAGGAGCUGGGUAAUGUGGUACAAGCAGUGAUACUUAUUCAGGCUUAAAUCUCAGGCUUCACAUGCAAUGAUUAUUGCAGUUUUAUUUUUAGAGAAACAACAAAUCUAAUGCUUCUUUUAUAGGAUGAAAAAAAAUACAACUGACUUCAGUUAUGAAAUAAAUAUGCACAAAAGUUGCUUCUGUGGAACAAAAAAGUAAUUAUUUAAUGGACUGAAUAUUUAUUCAAGCUUGUUUUUAUUUUGUAAAUGCUGUAAUUCAGAAUCAUUUCCAUAAAUAUGGUAUUUAAAGAUCUCAGACGCUAUAGUUUCUUAUGUAAAUAUAAACUCCUAUUUCUCUUACUGAAAAGCACAAUGACUAUAUCAAUAUGCAUUUGCCUCAAGGAAGACUUUGCUCUUGUAAUCUCUUCAGAUGAUUAAAAUGUCAGGACUUUCUACUUCCA